rnacentral:rRNA from 1 species
AGUUUGAUCCUUGGCUCAGGGAGGAACGCUGGGCGCCGUGCCUAACACCAGCCAAUUCGAGCGGGAUUUCUACAACUGAUUCCUUCGGGAUGAAGUUGUAGAUUUUCUAGCGGCGGAUGGGUGAGUUAACGCGUGAGAAACCUGCCUUUCACAAGGGGAUAGCCUCGAGAAAUCGGGAUUAAUACCCUAUGAUACUAUUAAGUCGCAUGACUAAAUAGUUAAAGCGUAAAGCGGUGAAAGAUGGUCUCGCGUCCCAUUAGUUAGUUGGUGAGAUAAAAGCUCACCAAGACUACGAUGGGUAGCCGGCCUGAGAGGGCGACCGGCCACACUGGAACUGAGACACGGUCCAGACUCCUACGGGAGGCAGCAGUGGGGAAUCUUGCACAAUGGAGGAAACUCUGAUGCAGCGACGCCGCGUGAACGAUGAAGGUUUUCGGAUCGUAAAGUUCUGUUAUUAGAGAAGAACAAGUCAAGGAGUAACUGUCUUGACUUUGACGGUACCUAACCAGAAAGUCACGGCUAACUACGUGCCAGCAGCCGCGGUAAUACGUAGGUGACAAGCGUUGUCCGGAAUUAUUGGGCGUAAAGGGAGCGCAGGCGGUUGGAAUAGUCUGAUGUGAAAGCCCACGGCUUAACCGUGGAAGGUCAUUGGAAACUGUCCAACUUGAAUACAGAAGAGGUAAGUGGAAUUCCAAGUGUAGCGGUGAAAUGCGUAGAUAUUUGGAGGAACACCAGUGGCGAAGGCGACUUACUGGUCUGUAAUUGACGCUGAGGCUCGAAAGCGUGGGUAGCAAACAGGAUUAGAUACCCUGGUAGUCCACGCCGUAAACGAUGAGUGCUAAGUGUUAGGGGGUUUCCGCCCCUUAGUGCUGGAGCUAACGCAUAAGCCACUCCGC